GACGAACGCUGGCGGCGUGCCUAACACAUGCAAGUCGAGCGGAGCUAGUAGCAAUAUUAGUUUAGCGGCGGACGGGUGAGUAACGCGUGGGCAACCUGCCUUCUACAGGGGGAUAACACAGGGAAACUUGUGCUAAUACCGCAUAACAUACUUAAGGGACAUCCCUUGGGUAUCAAAGGAGCAAUCCGGUAGAAGAUGGGCCCGCGUCCGAUUAGCCAGUUGGAGGUGUAACGGACCACCAAGGCGACGAUCGGUAGCCGAACUGAGAGGUUGAUCGGCCACAUUGGGACUAAGACACGGCCCAGACUCCUACGGGAGGCAGCAGUGGGGAAUAUGGCGCAAUGGGGGAGACCCUGACGCAGCAACGCCGCGUGAAGGAUGAAGGUCUUCGGAUUGUAAACUUCUUUAGUCGGGGACGAAGAAAUGACGGUACCCGAAGAAUAAGCCACGGCUAACUACGUGCCAGCCGCCGCCGUAA
rnacentral:rRNA from 1 species